rnacentral:rRNA from 1 species
AGAGUUUGAUCCUGGCUCAGAACGAACGCUGGCGGCAGGCUUAACACAUGCAAGUCGAACGCACCGCAAGGUGAGUGGCAGACGGGUGAGUAACGCGUGGGAACGUGCCCUUCAGUUCGGGGAUAACCCAGGGAAACUUGGGCUAAUACCGGAUACGUGCGAGAGCAGAAAGAUUCAUCGCUGAAGGAUCGGCCCGCGCCUGAUUAGCUAGUUGGUAGGGUAAUGGCCUACCAAGGCGACGAUCAGUAGCUGGUCUGAGAGGAUGAUCAGCCACAUUGGGACUGAGACACGGCCCAAACUCCUACGGGAGGCAGCAGUGGGGAAUAUUGGACAAUGGGCGCAAGCCUGAUCCAGCAUGCCGCGUGAGUGAUGAAGGCCUUGGGGUUGUAAAGCUCUUUCGUCCGGGACGAUAAUGACGGUACCGGAAGAAGAAGCCCCGGCUAACUUCGUGCCAGCAGCCGCGGUAAUACGAAGGGGGCUAGCGUUGUUCGGAAUCACUGGGCGUAAAGGGCGCGUAGGCGGCCUGAUAAGUCGGGGGUGAAAGCCUGUGGCUCAACCACAGAAUUGCCUUCGAUACUGUCGGGCUUGAGACCGGAAGAGGUAAGUGGAACUGCGAGUGUAGAGGUGAAAUUCGUAGAUAUUCGCAAGAACACCAGUGGCGAAGGCGGCUUACUGGUCCGGUUCUGACGCUGAGGCGCGAAAGCGUGGGGAGCAAACAGGAUUAGAUACCCUAGUAGUCC